AACUGAAUCAUUAUGAGUCAUUAAUUUGGUGAUUAUGAUAACAUAAGGGAAAAAAAAUGAUAUUACCUUAUUAUUAGUGUUGUCCAAAACUGGUGCCAGAAGACUCGGUAAGACCAGAGACGCAAACGUUAGUCAUCUUAAUCAGGCGUAAAGGGUGUGUAGGCUGCUUUAAAAGUUUAAAUCUUUUUAAUAGCUCUUUUGCCGUUGUCCUGCCAUUAUUUAUUUUAUUUAUAAAAUAAUAAACAAUAAUGAAUAUAAAGGCAGUACAUUUUUAAUUUUAUUAAUAUUAAUUUAAUUUAAUAAUUAUAAAGGGGACAAAAAAGAUAUCCCGGUUUAAGUAAAAAGAAUAAAAUGAAUUAAAGCUAGAAUCAAAUUGAGGAUAAACCAAAUAAUACUUAGAGUAGGGCCGAUAUCCGCAGAUACUAAGGGGAAUACUAAAGGUGAAAGCUUUUUAUCUACUAUUGAUUGACGCUGAGAAACGAAGGUGAGAACAGGAAAUAGGAUUUGAUACCCAGAUACCUCUCACUGUCAACGAUGAAUGGUGGUUGUUAGUUUUAAUAAAAACUGGUAACGAUGUUAACACGAUAACCAUUCCGCCUUGCGAGUACGGUUGCAAAACUGAAACCAAAAAAAUUAGUCGGUU
rnacentral:rRNA from 1 species